UACGAGGGGUCCUAGCGUUGUUCGGAAUCAUUGGGCGUAAAGGGUGUGUAGGUGGCUAUGUAAGUCAGGUGUGAAAGCCCCGGGCUCAACCCGGGAAGUGCAUUUGAUACUGCGUAGCUUGAGUACCGAAGAGGAUAGUGGAAUUCCAGGUGUAGUGGUGAAAUACGUAGAUAUCUGGAGGAACACCGGUGGCGAAGGCGGCUAUCUGGUCGAGUACUGACACUGAGACACGAAAGCAUGGGGAUCAAACAGGAUUAGAAACCCCGGUAGU
rnacentral:rRNA from 1 species